rnacentral:rRNA from 1 species
ACUCAAAUGAAUAGACGGGGGCCCGCACAAGCGGUGGAGCAUGUUGUUUAAUACGUCACUAACCGUAGAACCUUACCAGGGUUUGACAUCCGCUGCUAUGCUAUGAAAGUAGCCUUCCCGCAAGGGACAGCGAGACAGGUGUUGCAUGGCUGUCGUCAGCUCGUGUCGUGAGAUGUUGGGUUAAGUCCCGCAACGAGCGCAACCCUCAUCCCAUGUUGCCAUCGGGUGAAGCCGGGAACUCUUGGGAAACUGCCGGGGUAACUCGGAGGAAGGUGAGGACGACGUCAAGUCAGCAUGGCCCUUACAUCCUGGGCUACAAACAUGCUACAAUGGACGGUACACAGACCGACCCAAGCCCGUGAGGGGGAGGCAAUCGGACAAAUCCGUUCUCAGUUCGGAUCGCAGGCUGCAACUCGCCUGCGUGAAGCUGGAAUCGCUAGUAACCGCAGGUCAGCUAAACUGCGGUGAAUACGUUCCCGGGCCUUGUACACACCGCCCGU